rnacentral:tRNA from 1 species
GGCGGGGUAGCUCAGGUGGUUAGAGCAAGCGGCUCAUAAUCGCUGCGCGCGGGUUCGAGUCCCGCCCCCGCUACCG